GUGGAGUCCUGGCUCAGUGGUAGAGCGCUUGCCUGGCAUGUGUGAGGCCCUGGGUUUCGAUCCUCAGCACCACA
rnacentral:tRNA from 1 species